rnacentral:lncRNA from 1 species
AAAUGGCUUGUUAGUUAAUCAUGCUAUCUUGAAAAGAAAAUAAAAAUAUUAAAAAUAGUAAGCCCCAUGUGAGUAUGCUCGUGGCAUAAAACCCAUAAGUACAUUAACUGUGGUGGCGUAAAAAUAAAAUAAAUAUAUUCUUGUCCUAUAGAAAUGAAAAUAUAAAAAUAAAUUUAUGAUCCUAUCUAAGAGAGUAAUAUUUACUAGAGGAAGCUCAACAUGAUAACGGCUAAGAGAUUUUAUGCUAAUACUUAACCAGUUCCACAAAGCUUUGUUGUCUAUUUGAGCUCCACAGAAUUCAAGGAUCAAAGAAGACUAGUAGACGGAGGACACCCUAAUUGCUGUCAGGGUGCUGCCGACAUUCAAAUACACCUCUGCCACCUGCUAGCUACAUCAGAAGAAAUUACGUCAAAAUCCAGCUUGGGGGAGAGCACCCCCAUUUAUCCAGGUAAGUGUUUCUACUCAUGUUUAUACUUUACUCAAAUAAUAAAAAAGAUGCAUAAUCAUAAAAACCCAAAUAAAAAUUUUGUGCUUAUAUAUAUAUCUUUGCUUAGUUUGCUAAAUAAAUAAAUAAAUAAAUAAAGUGUCUAUGCCAAAGUGAACUCUAAUGAUAAACUCUUACAUGGAUAUGAUGAAUAGUUCCUCUGCCAAGUACCUAGUUUUCAAAUUUGAGCUCUCUCUCAAGUUUAGGCAUAACUAUUAUAAUUUAAAGUUUGCUCUAAACCUGAACUUGUGGGAAGAGAACUUGAUCUGAAGUCUAAGUUGUUAACGGAUAUGAUAUGGGAAGGUUGAGCUGUUGUUUAUCUAUUCCUAGAGAUGCUAGAAUUCUAGAGAAUUUUAUCUUUAAAAAUCUUUAAAAUAUCACAUGAUGAGUUCCUGUAUGAUGAGAGUUUAAAAUCCUACCACAGCCAUUUAUACAUGCUUAUUAGACUAUGAACCGUACAUUUACUUUUUACUGCUUAUGAGCAUUGAGUGUGGUCAAGCUGUGUAGAUCCUUAGGAGCUUGUCAUGCGGUUAAAAUCAAGAUUCACUUGCACGUUCACUCAUACAUGCUGCUUCUACUCCAGAAUUACGCAUCCACAUACAUCCACUCAUUUCCAUCUCCAGAUUCACCCAGAAUUAUUCUACUUCUAUCCGGGAGAGAAUAGCCAAAAACAUUAUCCUAUCCCUGUUAUUCCCCGUGAAAUAAAUGCUCAAGAUAUUUUGGUUACUACCACUUGCUACAUUAUUCCAGGAGGGUGAGUGCUCUGAAAAAAAAGUGAAAACGAGGAAAUAAGAAGGGGCAAGUGCCCGGAACCUCGAAGAAAAGAAAAAGUGAGACGAGAGGUCAAAAUGGACAAGUGUCCGACAGUAGAAUUAGGGGUACAAGAUACCCACCUGAGAGAAAAGAAAAAAUAUAUAUAUAUAUAGAGCAUCUCAUUCUCCUCAAAAAGCUUCAAAGUGCAAGAAAGAUAUGUAUCCCGUCAAAAGAGCAAAAGUAGAAUUAGACUUUCACCAUUGUUUUCACCAUUAUCACCAUCAUCACCAUACACCAUUCAUUCGCCACACAUGCACAUCUUGAUUUGACUUAUUGACUUGUUUCUCUGGAUCCAUGGUUUGACUAUGCAAUAAAUGUCUUGUAAGUAUGUAUUACCUAUCUCCCACCUAUGAGCUCCAGAUAUCAAAACCUUACUAGAGUAGGAUGAGAGAGAAGGCAAUGUCACUAUGCCUCAUACCACAAAUACCACAUAGUUUGAGAGAAGGCAUAUACCAUCAUUGCCUUGGUAAGGAUCUAGAAAUACCACAAAAGAGAGACUAGAGAGAGUCAUACAAGGAAUCUCUGAGUUUUAUUUUGAAAAUCUACAAAAACUCUAGAGCUAUAGCUAAUCAAGAAUAAGAGACAUGGCGCUUAACUACACUGUUCUAUCUUUAACUGCUCAAGACAAGUGACGGUUACAAGCCCCAUGGUGAAAGGUAAAAUAAGUAAGUUUAAAUCUUAACAGUUUACCCUAACCUAGAGAUGAGAUCUUGUUUGAAUGCAUGUGUACCUUUAAGACAUGAAACCACUACAGAAACUCUUGAGUCCAUCCUUGCUCAGGGACGAGCAAGAGGUAAGCUUGGGGGAGUUGUUGAUGGUCCUUAAGUAUCAAAUUUAACCAUCAAAUAAAUAAAGAAAAGGAUCCAAAUGCAACCAACACCCAGACUUAGGGUUUUAUCUGACAGAAUUCCACGAGUUUUGGUGUUCGUCCAUUUCUAUAGGGGGUUAUCAGGAAAUAUGGAGGAAAGGCCCACAUGUCGGGUUUACAUAGAGAUAUUAACGUGCCACGCAAUUUUCUAUCAUCUAGAAGACUCCAGAAGCCACGGGAACGAAUGGGAGGCCGAGCGGGCUCGGGGGCAGGGCGCCCGCCCUCCCCCCUUGGGCGCCCACCCUACUUUUUCGGCCAAUCAUGUUCUACUUCACGGAUUAUGCUCCACUGACCUAAAGGAUCAAGGAUAACCAUUCAAUCAAUGUUGGUUUAGGCACCCCUUGAUCAUUAUUCAUUAUUCAUAGACAGAGCAAAAGCUAGGGUUUAGAGAUGAGAGCUCUCUUCUCUUCUCUAAACUAGAGUAGAUCUAGAUAGUAGCGAGAUGGAGAGCAAAGGAGGAUUAGAGGAGAGGCCGGCCUGUCGGUUCUUCCUCCGGUUGUACUUCGCCAUGAUCAAGCUCUAAUCAAGUUUGCUCAUGGGAUGACUCUGGUAAUCUACUUCUAAUUCAUUAUGCAAUUACUAAUCAUGUAUGUUCUGGUUCAUAACUCUUUUGAGUACUUUAAUCUAUAGGACGCUAUACAUGAGAGUUGUAGUAUAGGUGUAAGCGUGGUGCUUAGGCCUAGAUUACUUGUGGAUAUCCCCUGUCUAGCCGGAUCGUGUGGUAGGCCGCGUAGAUGACAGUUACGUUGGUCCCCUGUAGUCCACCUCCUGUUAGGUGGACUGGUAGGGUUUAUCGGCCUAUGGAUAAGCAUCCAUUAUGGUGUAUUCUUAUCACGUGGUUCGUCCCAGACAUAGACAUACCCCUUUGAAGUAGAGAAACCAUAGUUAUCCUCUCUAUUCUCCUACCAUCGCAAUUAUAUUAGAUUGCUCUACUCUCUAUUCCCCUAUUAUCACCCAUUGUUAUCUUACCUUUAAUAUUGUUCUCAUUCAGUUCUACCAUCUUUCCUAUUUACACCUAUCUAUCUAUCUUGGUUAAGUUAGAGUGUAGUUGGUUCUCCCGUUUCCCUGUGGAUACGAUAAAACCUUUAACCGGGUAAAGCUACAACGGUAUCCGUGCGCUUGCGGAUUUAUCUGUGUGCGUAUAAAUACCAUAGUACACUCUAGUGCCAUGCUGGGGAUGACAACCUAGUAUGCAAGUGGUGUUAGCAAGUGUCACAAGCUUUUUGGCGCCCUUGCCGGGGAAACGGAUGCUGAGUUGACUACUGUUGACACAUGCUAACACCACUUGAAUACUAGGUUGUCAUCCCCAGCAUGGCACUAGAGUGUACUAUGGUAUUUAUACGCACACAGAUAAUCCGCAAGCGCACGGAUACCGUUGAAGCUUUUACCCGGUUAAAGGUUUUAUCGUAUCCACAGGGAAACGGGAGAACCAACUACGCUCUAACUUAACCAAGAUAGAUAGAUAGGUGUAAAUAGGAAAGAUGGUAGAAUCGAAUAAGAACAAUAUUAAAGGUAAGAUAACAGUGAGUGAUAAUAUGGGAAUAGAGAAUAGAGCAAUUCUAGUAUAUGGGCGAUGGUAGUAGAAUAGAGAGGAUAACUAUGGUUUCUCUACUUCAAAGGGGUAUGUCUAUGUCUGGGACGAACCAUGUGAUAAGAGUACACCACAAAGGAUGCUUAUCCUUAGGCCGAUAAACCCUACCCGUCCUGCUAACGAGAGGUGGACUACAGAGGACCAACGUAACUGUCACCUACGCGGCCUACCACACGAUCCAGCUAGACAGGGGAUACAUGGUUAGUAAUCUAGGUCUAAGCACUACGCUUACACCUAUACUACAACUCUAACCUAUAGCGUCCUAUAGAUUAGAAGUACUCAAAAGAGUUGUGAACCAGAACAUACAUGGUUAGUAAUUGCAUAAUGAAUUAGAAGUAGAUUACCAGAGUCAUCCCAUGAGCAAGCUUGAUUAGAGCUUGAUCAUGACGAAGUACAACCGGAGGAAGAACCGACAGGCUGGCCUCUCCUCUAAUCCUCCUUCGCUCUCCAUCUUGCUACUAUCUAGAUCUACUCUAGUUUAGAGAAGAGAGGAGAGCUCUCAUCUCUAAACCCUAGCUUUUGCUCUGUCUAUGAAUAAUGAAUAAUGAUCAAGGGGUGCCUCCUCUAGGGGCCAGGGGGUCUGGUUAUAUAGUCCCCUCAAGUGAACCUAGGCCGUCGGAUCAAACCGACAUUGAUUGAACGGUUAUUCUUGAUCCUUUAGGUCGGUGGAACAUCAUCCCGAAAGAGAGUCCUGAUCCAACUCUGUAGCUAGGCGGGCGCCCUGCCCCCGGGCCCGUUCGGCCUCCCGUUCGUUCCCGUGGCUUCUGGAGUCUUCUAGAUGAUAGAAAAUUGGGCGGCACGUUAAUAUCUCUAUGUAAUCCCGACGUGUGGGCCUUUCUUCCGUAUUUCCUGAUAACCCCCUGCAGAAAUAGACCAACACGAAAACUCAUGGAAUUCUGUCAGAUAAAACCCUAAGUCUAGAUGUUGAUUUCAUUUGGAUCCUUUUCUUUGUUUAUUUGAUAAUUAAAUUUGAUACUUAAGGACCGUCAACAACUACAAACUAGCUUAAUCAUUUUUCUAAAUAUAUAUAUAUAUUUAUUUCCUUUUAUCCUUUGCCUCAUCUCUGCUAUUCUUUCUUCUUAUCUAAUCCAUGAUCUCCGGUCUAUCAUGAAUGCAAACAUGUAGUUUCAUAGACCUACGGGCACACAUCUCGAACCAUCAAAACUUCAAAGCCUAUCAUAGCAUCUAGUUUUGAGAUAGAUCCCGAAUACAUAGAAUUUGUUAAAAAACAACCUUUCUCAGGAGAAGGUGAAGAAAACCCAUACACACACCUAAGAGAGUUUUAUCGAGUCUAUGACCUCCUUCGCAUUGAAGGCAUGUCCGAUGAGACCCUUAAAUGGAAGCUCUUUCCGUUCUCUUUAACAGGAAAAGCUAGACAUUGGUAUAAACUCAACAUAGGAAGUGCUCAUGGAGAUUGAAAGGAGCUAUACAAUAGUUUUCUUUUUAAAUAUUUUCUGAUCUCCAAAGUGGCGGGUCUUUGGAUCGAGAUUCUUUCUUUUAGACAACUAGAAGAAGAAUCUCUUUGGCAAAUCAUGGGACCGCUUUAUUGACCUUACUCUCACUAGCCCAAAUCUUUCUAUUCCAGAAGAAGUUCUCCUAAUUCACUUUUUAAGGGCCUUAGUAGGGAAAAUAAGAAAACCCUUAAUGCGGCCUCUAGAGGAUCCUUCCACCGCCUGUGUGCUAUUGAAGCUUGGAAUUUGAUUGAUUUAAUGAGCGAAAAGUCUCCUAGCAUUUAUAUCCCUGAGAAAGAGAAAGAAUCAGUUCCUAGACAAGAAGAAGAAGUUUCGAUAGCUAGAUCACAACCACUUCAAUCCCAAACUUUAGCUAUCGAUCCUAAACCAUCAAGACCCCAAAAUCUUUUAGAUGCUGAUGGUUUAGACUUCUGGUUCCAUAAGAGACCUUCAAGCAGGGAUAAUUCAAAUCCUUGCAAUAAUGGUUCUCUUAGAGAAUGUCCUGGUUCCUGUUAUGAAGAAGUCGAGGAUGACAUAUCAAGUGAAAGAGAGCUGAACCAUAUAGAAGAUUCUAUCUGCUCCCCUUCCAUGUUCACAAAUUCUAAAUCCAUCCUUGACCUUAAAGACCCCUCUUAUCCUUCUCCUUUUCAAUCUCAUGAUGAUCCUAGCAAUCCAUCAAGACGAUCAAACCAUAGGAGUCAUAAAGACCAUGAGGAUGACAUGUCAAGUAAUAUCAUAGAAGGAGAGCUAAGCCAUAUAAAAAAUUCUAACACCUCUCCUUUCCUCAUCACAAGUUCUAAAUGGCUAAAAUGUGUAGAAUGGAUGGACAAGGAAGAAGCCUUAAUGGAUUCUGACUUUGGAUCAAUUUCAAAUGUUGAGUUCUUGACUCCCUUUGAAGAUGAGAUUCAUCCAACUAUAGAAGAGGACAUAGGCGAGUCUAAUCUAGGAGAAACUCUGAACAUUCAGAUUGGAGACGAAGAUAACAUUAAUGAGCAUGGAAUUUAUUUCAUAGCCACUUCGUUUACUCCAUGCUCAUAUGCAACAUCUUCCCAAUCUAUUGGUCUCUCCAACAUCACCACAUUUGAGAUCUCCAACCCCCUCUUCCUUUCUACUUAUAAAAACUUUAAAAGGGCGGUUCUCGAUGCAUAUGUCUAUAAUAAAUAUUGCAGAUCUCGUUGAGUUGAUCUUGAUAUAGGUCAGCGUUGGAGGGGAAACCACUUCACCGACAUAAAUUGAUGGUUUUCCAAGGACAAGCUUAGUGUCCUAAAACAAGCACUGAUCAGAUCGUAACAUGAGCUUUUAAUUAUUUGCAACAUUACCUUGUGUAUUGAGCAUAUAAGGAUAAUUGUUAAAAUAUUCCUUCACGUAUUCUUGUCACUAACCUUUCCAGGAUUGGAGCAAGAACAUCGGAUGAAUGACAAGCACAAGGUAUGUCCAACCAAUCAUCAUACAACAUUGAAUUAAAUUUAUCCAAACCUGAAUUUUGAAAAUUCACGCUUGGGGGAGUACUUUACAUAAAAUCAUCCUUUGCCAUGUUGCUAUGUUGGUUGUCCCUACCGUUGAGACAUGCUCAAUUUGUUAAAUACUAAUCACACUACUUCAUCUCCACUUGAGUAGAUCUCUAUAAAUGCUCUCAUGCUACCUUUAUUUGCUUUAGUAUAUGUCUAGGUUUGGAGUAGUUUCAUUUAUCUCUUAAAUAAGCAUGGUGCUUAGUUUAGGAAUGAUGAUCUUACUUCCAAGGGAUUUUAAAUUAAGUAUGGUGCUUAGGUUAAAAUGCCCUUCUAAAUCAAAUUAGACAUGGUGUCUAGGUAGAUUUUUGAGCCGAUAGUAUGCUAUAGUAGAUAUUGGAUAUUUUGUUGGACUAACCCCUGCAGGAAAACUUUCAAUAUCAACCUAGGAAGUCCUGAGAUAAACUCACAUGGGAGACAAAGAGAGGGACACAUGAAGUUUAAUAAUUUACACAAGGAAGACAUAGCUCAUAAGAGAUGAUCCAUGGAGGGUGCCACAAACACGAUGUACAACCGCUAAGAAAGGAAAGCUUCCACAAGGACCUGGAUCUACGAGCACAAACACACUGAGCAGGAUGCUGCCAACGCCGCACUUUGAACUGCUGGGCAAACGAAGAACAUGGGUGACACCGUAUCAAGAGGUGUAGACGUCAAGGUCCACACCUAAAUCAAAUGACGCACCUAAAGAAUGAACACGGUGAGAAGUCUUGUUCAGAAGACUUAAAACAUUGAACCCUCGCCGAAAGGUAAAAUUGGUAGUUAUCCAUAUUUAUCCUUUCUGCAUUCCCUUUUCCCUUAAAUUAUUUACUUUCCUUAAAUAGCUUGUCAGUUAAUCAUGCUAUCUUGAAAAGAAAUUAAAAAUGUUAAAAAUAGUAAGCCCCAUGUGAGUAUGCUCGUGGCAUAAAACCCAUAAAUACAUUCACUAUGGUGGUGUAAAAAUAAAAUAAAUAUAUUCCUAUCCUAUAAAAUUGAAAAUAUAAAAAUAAAUUUAUGAUCCUACGAGAGUAAUAUUUAUUAGAGGAAGCUCAACAUGAUAACGGCUAGAUAUUUAUGCUAACACUUAACUAGUUCCACAAAGCUUUGUUGUCUAUUUGAGCUCCACAGAAUUCAAAGAUCAAAGAAGACUAGCAGACAGAGGACAUCCUAAUCGCUGUCAGGGUGCUGCCAACAUUCAAAUACACCUCCGCCACCUGCUAGCUACAUCAGAAGAAAUUACGUCAAAAACCAGCUUGGGGGAGAGCAACCCCACUUAUCCAGCUAAGUGUUUCUACUGGCGUUUAUACUUUACUCAAAUAAUAAAAAGAUGCAUAAUCAUAAAAACCCAAAUAAAGAUUUUGUGCUCAUAUAUAUAUAUAUAUAUAUAUAUAUAUAUUUAUAUAUAUAUAUAUAUUCUUAGUUUCCUAAAUAAAUAAAUAAAGUUUACUAUGAACCCUCAUGAUAAGCUCUCACAUGGAAAUGAUGAAUAGCUGCUCUGCCAUGACUAGUUCUCAAAUUUGAAAUCUCUCUCGUUUAGGCAUGACUAUUAUGAAUUAAGAUUUGCUCUAAAUAUAAACUUGUGGGAAGAGUACUUGAUCUAAAGUCUAUGUCGUUAACGGAUACGAUAUGUGAAGGUUGAGCUGUUGUUUAUGUGUUCCUAGAGAUGCUAGAAUUCUAGAGAAUUUUAUUUUUGAAAAUCUUUUAAAAUAUUGCAUGAUGAGUUCAUGUACGAUGAGAGUUUGAAAUCCUACCACAGCCAUAUAUACAUGCUUAUUAGACUAUGAACCGUACAUUUACUUUUUACUGCUUAUGAGCAUUAAGUGUGGUCAAGCUGUGUAGACCCUUAGGAGCUUGUCAUGCGGUUAAAAUCAAGAUUCACUUGCACGUUCACUCAUACAUGCGGCUUCUACUCUGGAAGUACGCAUCCACAUACAUCCACUCAUUUCCAUCUCCAGAUUCACCCAAAAUUAUUCUACUCCUAUCCGGGAGAGAAUAGCCAAAAACAUUAUCCCAUUCCUGUUUUUUCCUGUGAAAUAAAUGCUCGAGAUAUUUUGGUUACUACCACUUGCUACAUUAUUCCAGGAGGGUGAGUGCUCUAAAAAAAGAGAGAAAAAAGGAAAAAUACGAGCAAAUAAAAAGGUGCAAGUGCCCGGAACCUCGAAGAAAAAGCUCCUUUCUAAUAACAAUUUCUCACUCCUUAAAUAAUAAGACCGAGUCAUAUCUUUUGCCCGAUCCUAUGGAGGAGGUAAAGGCUGCAUCUCUAGAGCUUUUAGAUGAACCAGACUUAGAAGAAGAAGCUCCUUUCUACAUAGAAGAAGAAGCUGAACCUUCUGAACCUGAAUCCUUAGAUGAGUUUGCAGAAACACCUAGACCUCCAAUAAAGCUUAAAACUUUACCACCCGGUCUUAUCUAUGCUUUCCUAAACAAUAAUCCAGAGUUUCCUGUGAUCAUUAGUGAUAAACUCACUCAGGAGCAAACUCUGCGAUUGAUGACCAUUCUUGAGAAACAUCACUCAGUUUUUGGCUACGCACUCCAAGAUCUUACAGGAAUCAGUCCUAUGAUUUGUAUCCAUCGUAUUCCGACAGAUCCUUCUGUUUCACCUUCUCGAGAGCCCCAACGUAGACUAAACAUCGCGAUGAGAGAGGUAGUUAAAAAGAAAGUUAUAAAGUAGAAUUAGGGAUACAAGAUACCCACCUAAGAAAAAAGAAAAAAAAUAUAUAGAGCAUCUCAUUCUCCUCAAAAAGCUUCAAAGUGCAAGCAAGGUGUGGAUCCCCAAAAAAGAGCAAAAGUAGAAUUAGACUUUCACCAUUGUUAUCACCAUCAUCACCAUACACCAUUCACUCACCACACAUGCACAUCUUGAUUUGACUUAUUGACUUAUUUCUCUGGAUCCAUGGUUUGACUAUGCAAUAAAUGUAUUGUAAGUAUAUAUACUCUAUCUCCCACCUAUGAGCUCCAGAUAUCAAAACCUUAUUAGAGUAGGGUGAGAGAGAAGGCAAUGUCACUAUGCCUCAUACCAAAAAUACCACAUACUUUGAGAGAAGGCAUAUACCAUCACUGCCUUGGUAAGGAUCCAGAAAUAUCACAAAAGAGAGAUUUGAGAGAGUCAUACAAGGAAUCUCUGAGUUUUUUUUUUAAAUCUACAAAAACUCCAGAGCUAUAGUUGAUCAAGAACGAGAGACAUGGCGCUUUGACUUGACCGUUCUAUCCUUUAACUACUCAAGACACAAGUGAUGGUUACAAGCCCCA